rnacentral:rRNA from 1 species
UACGGAGGGUGCGAGCGUUGUCCGGAAUCAUUGGGCGUAAAGGGCGCGUAGGUGGCCCGGUCAGUCUUUGGUGAAAGCGCGGGGCUCAACCCUGCGUCGGCCAGGGGAUACUGCCGCGGCUCGAGCACUGUAGAGGCAGGCGGAAUUCCGGGGUGUAGCGGUGGAAUGCGUAGAGAUCCGGAAGAACACCGGUGGCGAAGGCGGCCUGCUGGGCAGUUUAGCUGACACUGAGGCGCGACACGUGGGGGAGCAAACAGG